rnacentral:rRNA from 1 species
UACAGAGGUCCCAAGCGUUGUUCGGAUUCACUGGGCGUAAAGGGCGCGUAGGCGGCCACCGCAAGUCGACUGUGAAAUCUCCGGGCUUAACUCGGAAAGGUCAGCCGAUACUGCGGGGCUAGAGUGCAGAAGGGGCAACUGGAAUUCUCGGUGUAGCGGUGAAAUGCGUAGAUAUCGAGAGGAACACCUGCGGCGAAGGCGGGUUGCUGGGCUGACACUGACGCUGAUUGUGCGAAAGCUAGGGGAGCGAACGGG